rnacentral:tRNA from 1 species
GGCCUCGUAGAUCAGUUGGUUAGAGCGUUAGCUGUACUGGCGUGGGUUCAAAUCACACAGAGGCCG